rnacentral:misc_RNA from 1 species
GAUGAAAGAACGUAGUGAAAUGCGAUAAGUAAUGUGAAUUGCAGAAUUCAGUGAAUCAUCGAAUCUUUGAACGCACAUUGCGCCCGCCAGUAUUCUGGCGGGCAUGCCUGUUCGAGCGUCAUUUCAACCAUCAAGCCCCAGGCUUGUGUUGGGGACCUGCGGCUGCCGCAGGCCCUGAAAACCAGUGGCGGGCUCGCUGUCACACCGGGCGUAGUAGAUUUUAUCUCGCUCAGGGCGUGCUGCGGGUUCCGGCCGUUAAAAAGCCUUUUUUACCCAAGGUUGACCUCGGAUCAGGUAGGAAGACCCGCUGAACUUAAGCAUAUCAAUAAGCGGAAGA